rnacentral:tRNA from 1 species
GGGCAGAUGGCCGAGUGGUCUAAGGCGCUAGUUUUAGGUUUCCCCGCUACAACGGGCUCCUCGCAAUCACUAGUCAUUUAUGGCGUGGGUUCAAAUCCCACUCUGCUCA